rnacentral:rRNA from 1 species
GGGCGGGACACGUGGUAUCCUGUCUGAAUAUGGGGGGACCAUCCUCCAAGGCUAAAUACUCCUGACUGACCGAUAGUGAACCAGUACCGUGAGGGAAAGGCGAAAAGAACCCCGGCGAGGGGAGUGAAACAGAACCUGAAACCGUGUACGUACAAGCAGUGGGAGCCCCACCACCAAAGCGUUUCGCUUUGCGUGGUGCGCAAAAUGCGUAACGACAGCACGAUUGCGGUUAACGGAGCGUAAGCGACGUUCAACACAAAAAUCAGGCAGUGGAGCGUUUUGGGGUGGGGUGACUGCGUACCUUUUGUAUAAUGGGUCAGCGACUUAUAUUCUGUAGCAAGGUUAACCGCAUAGGGGAGC